rnacentral:rRNA from 1 species
UACGUAGGGUGCAAGCGUUAAUCGGAAUUACUGGGCGUAAAGCGUGCGCAGGCGGUCGUGCAAGACAGGUGUGAAAUCCCCGGGCUUAACCUGGGAACUGCACUUGUGACUGCACGGCUGGAGUACGGCAGAGGGGGAUGGAAUUCCGCGUGUAGCAGUGGAAUGCGUAGAUAUGCGGAGGAACACCGAUGGCGAAGGCAGUCCCCUGGGCCUGUACUGACGCUCAUGCACGAAAGCGUGGGGAGCAAACGGG